UACGUAGGGUGCGAGCGUUAAUCGGAAUUACUGGGCGUAAAGCGUGCGCAGGCGGUUUUGUAAGCCAGAUGUGAAAUCCCCGGGCUUAACCUGGGAAUGGCAUUUGGGACUGCAAGGCUUGAGUGCGGCAGAGGAGACUGGAAUUCCUGGUGUAGCAGUGAAAUGCGUAGAUAUCGUAAGGAAGACCAGUGGCGAAGGCGGGUCUCUGGACAGUUCCUGACGCUGAGGCACGAAGGUCAGGGGAGCAAACGGG
rnacentral:rRNA from 1 species